CCGUUAUCUUCCACUAUAUUCUUGAGUUGUUCUGCUAUAUAUAGCUUGUUGGAUCUUUUAAAGAGUACAAAUGAUCUUCUUGACUACCUGUUCCUAAGCUACUAGCUUGACAAGCAUCCAUCAGUCAUGGAUCCAACACAUUUACAAACACUUUAUGCCCUCAGUCGCAAAGGGCUGAAACAACUAGGUCAGAGCGAUCUCACCGAAGAAGUCAAGAAUUUGUUAUCUUCCUUGCCAAAAAAAAAUGGAUGGCUGACUUCAGCUCCUCUCUAUCAGUACCAAAACUUUUGGUACCCUGCUGUACAAUUACAAGCUUUGUUAAAUAUCCAAAGAAACUUUCAGGCUCUUGAUACAGAUCUUGUGGUUGUCACAAACCCGAAAUGUGGUACAACUUGGUUGAAGGCAUUAUCUUUCGCUAUCGUCAACCGGUUCCAAUUCCAUUUUGAUAAUCCUACUUCAAAACAAUACCACCCUCUUCUUACAAACAAUCCUCAUAUACUUGUUCCUUAUUUGGAGUAUUUUUACAUGAUUGAUCAAAACCCAGAUCUAACUUGUUUAUCCUUUGGCACAGCCCGUCUUUUAUCUACUCAUAUUCCUCAUGCGUCGUUGCCUGAUUCCAUUAAGGAUUCGAAGUGUAAGCUAGUAUAUCUUUGUAGAGAUCCAAAAGAUACUUUCAUUUCAUUUUGGCAUUUCAGUAACAAACUGAGACCCAAGAAUACAGAAGAUACUUCAUUUGAAGAAGCUUUUGAAAAGUUUUGUGAAGGUGUUGUUGACUUUGGACCCUUUUGGGAUAAUGUUUUGGGGUAUUGGAAAAUGAGUUUGGAGAGUCCCGAAAGGGUUUGCUUUUUAAAGUAUGAGGAGAUGAAAAAAGAACCUAAAAUUCAUUUGUUAAAGUUGGCAGAAUUUUUGGGUGUUCCAUUUUCAGUAGAGGAAGAAAAUGAUGGAGUACCUGAGCAAAUAUUGAAGUUGUGCAGUUUUGAUAACUUGAGCAACUUAGAAGUGAACAAGACGGGGAAAAUAGCAGGGAUUGGAUUCAGUGUAUAUUUCCGUCGCGGUGAAGUUGGAGACCAUGUGAAUCAUUUAACUCUUGAAAUGAUAGAGCGCUUUGAUAAGAUCAACGAACAAAAGUUUCUUGAUUCGGAGGACUGUCGUAGUGGUGGCCGGCUUAUGAAUUUGCAAUCCAAAUUGUUGGGUUUGAGCGUAAUAAGGUGAUAAAUCAAAACGUGUUAUUCGGAGAGAUAAGGAUGGAAAAUGAAUAUGCAAGAAGGACCGAUAUGGGGAUAUCAUACGCAUGGGUCAAAGUUUGGAUUAGCUAAUUUCCGACGGUGGGAAUCAUCUUCUCUUUCUUCCCUGAAGCCACUUCACAGUCCCCACUCAAGAGAAAGUGAGAUAAAAUUUGUCCGCCAAAGGGUGCGCAUGUGCCACACGUAGAAUAGGAGGAAAAGAAAACGAAGAAAUGCUUGAUCUUAAUAGAACUGCCAAAAGGAGGGUGGGGAAAACUUAACUGGGUUCACGGAUCUGGAAAACACCCGGAUCCAAUUGUUCGUCUUCCACACCCGCGUUCAAAGUUUAACCCAAAUUCUCUUCUCUAUACUUUUCACUCCAUUAUUCCUGUAAAUUCAGAUUUCUUUCGGCUGAACAAAUAUCAAGAUUUGGUCACUGAAUAUUAGAACCCGUUAAGGUUAUAGUAUAUGAAAACAUCCAUUCCAUCAGUUUCAUAGGAUUUGCGAAAAAAAAUUCUUUUGUAUUUUAAAAAAAUUUGAUAAUGAAAUUAAUUGAUUCCGAUGGAUUCAAUGAAGUUUUCGAUUCAUCUCCUGUGAUUUGAUUUUGUAUUUUGAUUUGAUCCAGUAGAGGAAAUUUUGAUCAUG